rnacentral:rRNA from 1 species
AACGAACGCUGGCGGCGUGCCUAACACAUGCAAGUCGAGGGAGAAAGCCCGCAAGGGUGAGUAAACCGGCGAACGGGUGCGUAACACGUGGAUAAUCUACCUUCCUGACUGGGACAACUGGCCGAAAGGCUUGCUAAUACCAGAUAACGCCCACGGCGUCUUUGGACGCUGAAGGGAAAGGUGGCCUCUGCAUGCAAGCUAUCACAGGGGAGAUGAGUCCGCGGCCCANCAGCUAGUUGGGACGGGGUAAAAGACCCACCAAGGCUACGACGGGUAGCUGGUCUGAGAGGAUGAU